CCGCGCUGGUCUCCGUCGAAGACGAGGAGGAGGAGCCAUUGGGCUACCAACAAGCCCAAAGACUCCAUGAAAAAUCCCUGUGCCGUUCUCCCGACGAAAUGCAG
rnacentral:lncRNA from 11 species